rnacentral:rRNA from 1 species
UCAAGCUACAAAGGGCGCAUGGUGAAUGCCUUGGCACUAGGAGCCGAAGAAGGACGCGAUAAGCUGCGAUAAGCCUUGGGUAGCCGCAAAUAGGCUGAGAUCCAGGGAUUUCCGAAUGAGGAAACUCACAUGGGUAACCCCAUGUAUCAUGCACUGAAUACAUAGGUGUAUGAGGGUAAACCCGGGGAACUGAAACAUCUAAGUACCCGGAGGAAGAGAAAGAAAAAUCGAUUUCCUAAGUAGCGGCGAGCGAACGGGAAAGAGCCCAAACCAGAAACUUGUUUCUGGGGUUGUGGAUAGAUCAUGAAAGAAGAGGUAUCUUAAUCGAAGAGGGCUGGAACGCCCUACCAUAGAAGGUAAUAGUCCUGUAGAUAAAAAGAGAAAACUUUAAGAUCUAAUCCAGAGUACCACGAGACACGUGAAACCUUGUGGGAAGCAGGGAGGACCACCUCCAAGGCUAAAUACUACCUAGUGACCGAUAGUGAAGCAGUACCGUGAGGGAAAGGUGAAAAGAACCCCGGAAGGGGAGUGAAAUAGAACCUGAAACCGUGUGCCUACAACCGAUCGGAGCACGUUAAAGUGUGACGAUGUGCUUUUUGUAGAACGAGCCAGCGAGUUACGCUAUGUAGCAAGGUUAAGUACUUAAGGUAUGGAGCCGAAGGGAAACCGAGUCUGAAAAGGGCGAAAAGUUGCAUGGUGUAGACCCGAAACCGGGUGACCUAUCCAUGGCCAGGUUGAAGCGAGAGUAAAAUCUCGUGGAGGACCGAACCACGUUGGUGUUGAAAAACCAUGGGAUGAGCUGUGGAUAGCGGAGAAAUUCCAAUCGAACUCGGAGAUAGCUGGUUCUCCUCGAAAUAGCUUUAGGGCUAGCGUCGUGUAAUUGAGUAAUGGAGGUAGAGCACUGAAUGGGCUAGGGGCUAUAGUAGUUACCGAACCCUAUCAAACUCCGAAUGCCAUAUACUUGUAUCACGGCAGUCAGACUGCGAAUGAUAAGAUCCGUAGUCAAAAGGGAAACAGCCCAGACCAUCAGCUAAGGUCCCAAAGUGUAAGUUAAGUGGAAAGGAUGUGGGAUUUCUAAGACAACUAGGAUGUUGGCUUAGAAGCAGCCACUCAUUUAAAGAGUGCGUAAUAGCUCACUAGUCAAGAGAUCCUGCGCCGAAGAUGUCCGGGGCUCAAACUUACCACCGAAGCUAUGGGUGUACACUAUGUGUACGCGGUAGAGGAGCUUUCUGUAUGGGUUGAAGUCGUACCGUAAGGAGCGGUGGACUGUACAGAAGUGAGAAUGCUGGCAUAAGUAGCGAGAAAUAAGUGAGAAUCUUAUUGGCCGAAAACCUAAGGUUUCCUGAGGAAGGUUCGUCGCUCAGGGUUAGUCGGGACCUAAGCCGAGGCCGAAAGGCGUAGGUGAUGGACAAUCGGUUGAUAUUCCGAUACCACCUAUUUACGUUUGAGAAUGGGGUGACGCAGUAGGAUACCGUACCGCAAACCGACACAGGUAGGUGAGGAGAGAAUCCUAAGGCCAUCGGAAGAAUUGCUGUUAAGGAACUCGGCAAAUUGACCCCGUAACUUCGGGAGAAGGGGUGCCUACGAAAGUAGGCCGCAGAGAAUAGGCCCAAGCAACUGUUUAGCAAAAACACAGGUCUCUGCUAAAGCGAAAGCUGAUGUAUAGGGGCUGACGCCUGCCCGGUGCUGGAAGGUUAAGGGGAACACUUAGCGUAAGUGAAGGUGUGAACUUAAGCCCCAGUAAACGGCGGCCGUAACUAUAACGGUCCUAAGGUAGCGAAAUUCCUUGUCGGGUAAGUUCCGACCCGCACGAAUGGCGUAAUGAUUUGGGCACUGUCUCAACAGCAAAUCCGGCCGAAAUUGUAGUGGCAAAGUGAAGAUGCUUGCUACCCGCGAUUGGACGGAAAGACCCCGUAGAGCUUUACUGUAGCUUAGCAUUGAAUCUCGGUAUUGUCUGUACAGGAUAGGUGGGAGACUUGGAAGCUUGGGCGUCAGCCUGAGUGGAGUCAUCCUUGGGAUACCACCCUGACAGUACUGGGUUCUAACCGGCGGCCAUGAAUCUGGUCACGGGACAUUGUUAGGUGGGCAGUUUGACUGGGGCGGUCGCCUCCUAAAAAGUAACGGAGGCGCCCAAAAGUUCCCUCAGCGCGGUCGGAAAUCGCGCGAAGAGUGCAAAGGCAGAAGGGAGCUUGACUGCGACACAUACAGGUGAGGCAGGGACGAAAGUCGGGCUUAGUGAUCCGGUGGUACCUCGUGGGAGGGCCAUCGCUCAACGGAUAAAAGCUACCUCGGGGAUAACAGGCUGAUCUCCCCCAAGAGUCCACAUCGACGGGGAGGUUUGGCACCUCGAUGUCGGCUCGUCGCAUCCUGGGGCUGAAGUAGGUCCCAAGGGUUGGGCUGUUCGCCCAUUAAAGCGGCACGCGAGCUGGGUUCAGAACGUCGUGAGACAGUUCGGUCCCUAUCCGUCGCGGGCGUAGGAAAUUUGAGAGGAGCUGUCCUUAGUACGAGAGGACCGGGAUGGACCAACCUCUGGUGCACCAGUUGUCACGCCAGUGGCACAGCUGGGUAGCUAUGUUGGGACUGGAUAAACGCUGAAAGCAUCUAAGCGUGAAGCCAACCUCAAGAUGAGAUUUCCCAUAGCGUAAGCUAGUAAGACUCCUGGAAGAACACCAGGUUGAUAGGUCAGAGAUGUAAGCAUGGCAACAUGUUAAGUUGACUGAUACUAAUAAGUCGAGGGCUUGACCAA